rnacentral:rRNA from 1 species
AUUGAACGCUGGCGGAAUGCUUUACACAUGCAAGUCGAACGGCAGCACGGACUUCGGUCUGGUGGCGAGUGGCGAACGGGUGAGUAAUACAUCGGAACGUGCCCAGUCGUGGGGGAUAACGUAGCGAAAGCUACGCUAAUACCGCAUACGAUCUAAGGAUGAAAGCGGGGGAUCGCAAGACCUCGCGCGAUUGGAGCGGCCGAUGUCAGAUUAGGUAGUUGGUGGGGUAAAGGCUCACCAAGCCAACGAUCUGUAGCUGGUUUGAGAGGACGACCAGCCACACUGGGACUGAGACACGGCCCAGACUCCUACGGGAGGCAGCAGUGGGGAAUUUUGGACAAUGGGCGCAAGCCUGAUCCAGCCAUUCCACGUGCAGGACGAAGGCCUUCGGGUUGUAAACUGCUUUUGUACGGAACGAAAAUGCCCUUGUUAAUACCAGGGGUAAAUGACGGUACCGUAAGAAUAAGCACCGGCUAACUACGUGCCAGCCGCCGCCGUAA